rnacentral:rRNA from 1 species
GAUGAACGCUGGCGGCGUGCUUAACACAUGCAAGUCGAACGGUGAACGAGGGAGCUUGCUCCCUCCGGAUCAGUGGCGAACGGGUGAGUAACACGUGAGCAAUCUGCCCUGGACUCUGGGAUAAGCGGUGGAAACGACGUCUAAUACCGGAUGCGAGACGCGAAGGCAUCGUCAGGGUCUGGAAAGAAGUUCGGUCGAGGAUGCGCUCGGGGCCUAUCAGGUAGUUGGUGAGGUAAAGGCUCACCAAGCCUACGACGGGGAGCCGGCCUGGGGGGGUGACCGGCACACUGGGACUGAGAUAUGGCCCAGACUCCUACGGGAGGCAGCAGUGGGGAAUAUUGCACAAUGGGCGAAAGCCUGAUGCAGCGACGCCGCGUGGGGGAUGACGGCCUUCGGGUUGUAAACCCCUUUCAGUCGGGACGAAGCGAGAGUGACGGUACCGAUAGAAGAAGCACCGGCCAACUACGUGCCAGCCGCCGCUGUAAAAC